rnacentral:rRNA from 1 species
GUCUGAUGUGAAAGCCCACGGCUCAACCGUGGAGGGUCAUUGGAAACUGGGAGACUUGAGUGCAGAAGAGGAAAGUGGAAUUCCAUGUGUAGCGGUGAAAUGCGUAGAGAUAUGGAGGAACACCAGUGGCGAAGGCGACUUUCUGGUCUGUAACUGACACUGAGGCGCGAAAGCGUGGGGAGCAAACAGGAUUAGAUACCC